UGCCAACAGGGUCUGUCCUGAUGCCAAGGU
rnacentral:piRNA from 1 species